GAGGAAUAUUGGUCAAUGGGGGCAACCCUGAACCAGCCAAGUCGCGUGAAGGAUGAAGGUCUUAUGGAUUGUAAACUUCUUUUACACGGGAAUAAAGCGGGGGACGUGUCCCUCUUUGCAUGUACCGUGUGAAUAAGGAUCGGCUAACUCCGUGCCAGCAGCCGCGGUAAUACGGAGGAUCCGAGCGUUAUCCGGAUUUAUUGGGUUUAAAGGGUGCGCAGGCGGGAUGUUAAGUCGGCGGUGAAAUUUUGCAGCUCAACUGUAAAAGUGCCUUCGAUACGGGCCUUCUUGAGUGUGGAUGAAGUAGGCGGAAUUUGUGGUGUAGCGUUGAAAUGCUUAGAUAUCACGAGGAACUCCGAUUGCGCAGGCAGCUUACUAAGCCACAACUGACGCUCAUGCACGAAGGCGUGGGGAUCAAACA
rnacentral:rRNA from 1 species